CUUAUAUUUUUUGUGUUAUUGAGAGUCCUUCAGAUAUAUUUUGCAUGUUAAAGGUGUUUAAUAAUUAUAAGUUGGGUUCAGUAGAGUAAAUGACACUGAGUGGGUAUCAUAACUUGAAAGCAAUUGUGUGCACAUUAUGAUAAUUCCUUUUUCUUUUAUUCCUCCUUAACUAUAGAGAAUUAAGUUUCAAUUUUGAAUAGCACAUAUUUUAUCCAGAUAUGAAAAUAUGCCUCUGUUCUGUAAAUAUGUUUUUACCAAGUUUUCAAAAAUCACGUCAUAGCCUAACUCUAACCCAGACUUACAUGGGGAUAGGAAAAUUGAUUGAGUGCUUUGGAAUGACUUUUUUCUGUCAUUCUUUAGGUUACAGUGUUAUAUCAAAUACGGUGUCAUAUCAAAUAUUCUUGUAGAAAUUCAUGAUAGCUUCUAUAUUUUUAGGGACUAAAAGUUUUUA
rnacentral:lncRNA from 1 species